rnacentral:rRNA from 1 species
UUGGAGGGCAAGUCUGGUGCCAGCAGCCGCGGUAAUUCCAGCUCCAAUAGCGUAUAUUAAAGUUGUUGCAGCUAAAAAGCUCGUAGUUGAAUUUCGAGAUCAGUACGCUGGUCGUGCCUUCGGUAUGCACUGGUGUCACUGGUUUCUCCCUUCUGAAGAACCGUCAUGUCAUUAAGUUGGUGUGGCGGGGAAUCUGGACUGUUACUUUGAAAAAAUUAGAGUGUUUAAAGCAGGCUCGCGCUUGAAUACAUUAGCAUGGAAUAAUGAAAUAGGACGUUUGACCCUAUUUUGUUGGUUUCUAGGAUCGACGUAAUGAUUAAUAGGGAUAGUUGGGGGCAUUAGUAUUCAAUUGUCAGAGGUGAAAUUCUUGGAUUUAUUGAAGACUAACUACUGCGAAAGCAUUUGCCAAGGAUGUUUUCAUUAAUCAAGAACGAAAGUUAGGGGAUCGAAGACGAUCAGAUACCGUCGUAGUCUUAACCAUAAACUAUGCCGACUAGGGAUCGGAUGAUGUUAAUUUUUUAAUGACUCAUUCGGCGCCUUACGGGAAAC